GGCCCGGGGCUGAGGGGGCCCGGCUCGGCCGCUCAGCCGCAGGGCCCCUGCACGGCAUGAGGAAGGGACCGUCAGGAACUCCACGAAGCUGCAGGACGUGUCCCGGUCAGGCUUCCUGGGGAGGUGGUCAAGGGAAGAGGAUGGUGUGGCAGAUAAUGCUGAAGACCUCAGGUCAGGCGAUGUGGACUCUGGCGCUCCCUACCCUGGGUCUGCUGCUUUUCUUUCAUCACAGCAGCGCCAAGGGCCUGGCGAGGAUGCUGGCCAAGUGCUCCGGCUCCUGCGGCUCUGAGCAGCCACAGCGGGGCUCCUGCGCUCAGAGGCUGAAGAGCUCUUUGGGAAAUUACCCUAUGGAGCUGCGCGCUUUGCAAAGCUCUGUGGCAGGAUUUCAUUAGCCCCGCUUUAGGGAGAGCCUGCCCACGCUGGGACAGCCGGGCACACGAGGAGAGGGCUGCACCACUACUGCUCCCCGUCUGGCUCUAGGGCAUCUGGCCGUGAUGGACAGCCGGAGCAAGUGGCUCACAGGGGUUAAAGUCAAGGCUGUUAGAUCAUCUAACCAAAUAGUUAUUUAAUAUGAGUCCUUUAAUUUGCUGAGGAUUUCCUCUUCUGAACUCUAAAUAUGUCCCUUGCUAAAGUAUGUUUUCUUGCAAAGUGUCCAGCAUGGAUAACCAGAAAUGGAGAGUUCACAACCCACAUCAACCCAUAUCAACACAAGCUUAUUCAGCUUUGCUAUUUCAGGCAUGCUUCAUGUUCCAUUUGAUUUUGUUACAUUUUAUCCACCUGCCUGUAGCUCCUAUAAUACCUUUCCCAAGUAGUUCAAAGAGCCCCUUAGCACCUGGAUUUUCUUCUCAUGAAGGUAUUUAUAAGACAGCUCUGGAUCUUUCUCAUAACUCCAUCAGCAGGAAGGCUUGUCCUAUACUACAGGGCAAUCCCUUCAAGCCUUGUUUCAGCUUCAUGGGGCCUUCUGCAUUGCUUACAAUUUUUCAGCAAAUAAAUGUGACUGCCCUCAGUUCUUGCAAACAGUGUUAGCAUGUAACAUGCCAAAUGGAAACAUACACCGGGAUGUAAAAUUAAAGGUCCUGAUUCCUGUUCACAUUGGGGACCUUUAACUAAGUCUGGCAAAUUACUUUUCAUUUAGAUCCAAUGUACAGCUCCCCUAAAAUGUUGGUGUUGGUAAGGGGCCAGACUGUAAAUAAGAGUUGACUCUCAAUUAUUUUUAUUGACUGAAUACCAAACCACUGACUGUACUGCUAAGGUUACUGCACUUUUGCUCCUUUGUAUUAUUAGACUGGCACUCACAUACCAAGAGUUGUCUGUGCACACACCCUAGUAUUUUACAGUGAAAUACAUAGAUUUAUUUCCAUCUUGCCUUAUUUAGAGAGAGCAAAGGUGCAGUCCCUGAGAGGGCUGCUGCUCUGUGUUAGAUUGGAUAUGGGAUACCUGACAGACUUCUCUCCAACCCUACCUUGGCAUAACUUCUCUCACUCCUUCAGUGGAUACACAUGCCUGAUUUAUGUCAGCAUUAAUAAAAUAAGAA